AGUAUGGAUACAAUUGAGUAUUUUUUGUUCAUAUACCUAGUCAAGUGCCUACCUGUUAGACCCAGAUCCCAGAGCGAUAAGACAACUUACUAUCACAAUAUGGAUGAAACCUUAGUUUCUCAGUAGUUCCUUAUGUACUUAGAAUACUUUCGAAUUUGUGAUGCUCUACAUGGAGCUAUACUCACUCUCACUCACUCACUCAUAAUGUGUAAAAAUGUCUGUCUGUCUGUCUGUAACCUCUUCACGCCCAAACCGCGUAACCGAUUUUCCUGAAAUUUGGUACAGAUAUACUUUGAGCCCUGGGGUUAAAGUAUACCUAUCCUUUCCCGGGAAAG